AUUAUAUAUAUAAUAUAAAAAUUUAUAUAAAAUAUGUAAUUAUAUUCUAUAUAAUAACUAUAGGUACUAUUACAUACUAUAUUAUUAUAUCUAAUAACUAUAUUAUAACUUUAUUAUGAUACAUUAAUAUACUAUUUAAAGGAGAUUUUAAAACUACAAACCUACUUUUUCUAGCUCCCACAUCUAACUCCCAACUCGUGCCCCUCUCUGGAGUUCAAACACAGCUGGGUGGGCUUGGCCACCGGGCUCGAAGCAUCCUCCCCAAAAUCCACCCAAAGAAUUCUCCAGGCGCGUUCCAGGUGGGAACGGCGAGGAGCAGAACCGGGAAUUGAUCCCUGUGCUCCUCCAUGGAAACCCUGGGAGAAAGAACCGGCCUGGCACAGCGCCUGGCAUGGGGGGGAUUGAGCCCGAGGAGGAGGAGGGUGUGAGGAGGAGGAGGGUGUGAGGAUGAGGAUGAGGAGGGGGUGGGGGCUCGGGAAGGGAAGGGAAGGGAAGGGAAGGGAAGGGAAGGGAAGGGAAGGGAAGGGAAGGGAAGGGAAGGGAAGGGGGGGAAGGAGCGGCUCUCACCCCGCGGCUCCGGCCGAGCAGCCGCAGCUCCUCCAGCAGCCCCCGCGGGCUCCGCUCCCGCCGCUCCUGCGCCCCCGCCCGCAGCCACGGGCCCGAGGUGCCCCAGAGCGCGGCCACCAGCGCCAGGGACACAGCCUGCCCUGGGGACAGUGGGGACAGGGUCAGGGACAGGGACAGGGACUGGCCUGGGGGACAAUGGGGACAGAGUUAGAGCCUGGCCUGGGGAACAGGGACAGGGUCAGGGACUGGCCUGGGGGACAAUGGGGACAGGGUCAGAGCCUGGCCUGGGGACAAUGGGGACAGGGUCAGGGACAGGGACAGGGACUGGCCUGGGGACAGUGGGGACAGGGUCAGGGACAGGGACAGGGACUGGCCUGGGGACAGUGGGGACAGGGUCAGGGACAGGGACAGGGACUGGCCUGGGGGACAGGGACAGGGUCAGGGACUGGCCUGGGGGACAAUGGGAACAGAGCCUGGCCUGGGGGACAGGGACAGGGUCAGGGACUGGCCUGGGGGGACAAUGGGGACAGAGUUAGAGCCUGGCCUGGGGAACAGGGACAGGGUCAGGGACUGGCCUGGGGGACAGGGACAGGGACAGAGACUGGCCUGGGGGACAGGGACAGGGACAGGGUCAGGGACUGGCCUGGGGACAAUGGGGACAGGGUCAGAGCCUGGCCUGGGGGACAGGGACAGGGUCAGGGACUGGCCUGGGGACAAUGGGGACAGGGACAGGGACAGGGACAGAGACUAGCCUGGGGGACAGGGACAGGGUCAGGGACUGGCCUGGGGGACAAUGGGGACAGGGACAGGGUCCGAGCCUGGCCUGGGGGGACAGCAGGAGCUGGAAUUGGGCAAUUAUCCCCAAUAUUUAAAUGGACCAAACUCCUAAAAAUGUGAAAACUUGUGAUGCACUGUCCAUCUUGGGUCUAGCCAAGGCCAGGCUCUCAUGCUGCCCAAGCUGUAUCCUGCCAAGGCUUUGAAUAAAUCCCUGCUUUCCUCUUAGGGUUAGAAGGAA
rnacentral:lncRNA from 1 species